rnacentral:rRNA from 1 species
AUUGAACGCUGGCGGCAGGCCUAACACAUGCAAGUCGAACGGCAGCGGGGGAUAGCUUGCUAUCCUGCCGGCGAGUGGCGGACGGGUGAGUAAUGCAUGGGGAGCUGCCCAGUCGAGGGGGAUAACAACUGGAAACGGUUGCUAAUACCGCAUACGCCCUGAGGGGGAAAGGUGGGGAACUUCGGUCCUACCGCGAUUGGAUGCGCCCAUGUGGGAUUAGCUAGUUGGUGAGGUAACGGCUCACCAAGGCGACGAUCUCUAGCUGGUCUGAGAGGAUGACCAGCCACACUGGAACUGAGACGCGGUCCAGACUCCUCCGGGAGGCAGCAGUGGGGAAUAUUGCACAAUGGGGGAAACCCUGAUGCAGCCAUGCCGCGUGUGUGAAGAAGGCCUUCGGGUUGUAAAGCACUUUCAGUCAGGAGGAAGGGGUGAUGGCUAAUAUCCAUCAUCAUUGACGUUACUGACAGAAGAAGCACCGGCUAACUCCCUGCCAGCAGCCGCCGUAA